rnacentral:rRNA from 1 species
AGUUUUGCUGUUAGGCAAUGUGGUGUGUAGGUCGGCUAGCGGGAUCAUCACUCCACUCGAAGUCCAGCAUUGAGUAUGGUUAUCACUGGAUUUGGCCCAUAGAGGGUGAGAGGCCCGUACGAGUGGAGGUUCAGAUGUGUGCGAUGAUUCACCAGGCCGACCUCAGAGUCGGGUUGUUUGAGAUUGCAGCCCAAAGAGGGUGGUAAACUCCAUCCAAGGCUAAAUACUGGCACGAGUCCGAUAGCGAACAAGUACCGUGAGGGAAAGUUGAAAAGUACUCUGAAGAGAGAGUAAACAGUACGUGAAGCCGCAUGCAGGUAAACGGGUGGCGUCAAGCUGCGAGCCCGGAGGAUUCAGCUGAUUAGGAUGUAGUGUACGCGCGCCUGGUGCGUCGAGGGACCAGAAUAAGAUGUUUUGCGGUCCACUCCUCUAUUAAGGAGUGGGGUGCUAUUGGUGUGCACGUGCUUGCAUGUGUGUGCCGAUUGUUGCUAUACAUGCCGGGUGGUUACCGGAGUAUGCCGCUCAUCUGUUGGGUCACCUAGUCAGUGCAUUUUCUCCGUGGUGUACACCACGACCGGUGGAACUGCCAGUCUGCUGUUAUCAAGUCGUGUCCUUCUGGCCCCUUCAUUUCUUCCUCUCUUAUGGCGGCUACCUACUAUCUAUCUAUUAUCUCUCCAUUAUGGGUGGUAUUAGUGGAUGGUGGUGGUUGUUGUGAGGGAUGCGAGGGGUGUAUGUGUGUGUUGGGUGGAUACGAUCGCAGAUGGAGUUAGUGGACGGCGUAGUGGUGCGUUAGUACCGCCGCGUGUUAUCGUUUACUCUCCAUCGUAAGCGGUUAGUGGGGCUGACUGAGUACUGUGACUGCCUCUCCAUUAAUCGGUGGAUAGCAGCGGUAAAAAUGACUGUGCAGGGCACUGGAGUUAUCCACCUCAAUCAUUCCUUUAUCCAUUUGUUUGUGGAUUCAUUCAUUCAUUCGUUCAUUCGUGGAUGUAUGUGUGGAUGGAUUUGUAGAUGAGUGGGUUGAGUGGGUGAAUAUGGUACCCGACACGCAUGUUACAGGUGCUAUUUAAUCGGGGCAUGCCGCUACCUGUCUGGUAUUGGGCCUGACUGCCGUGUUGCCUAUGUGUAAAGUAGGUCCGGUAGUGGUUGUAUAUACUUGGCAUUGGUAGUAUGUAGCGUGUCUCGGGUGUAUGUGGUACUAC